rnacentral:lncRNA from 1 species
UGUUUUUGUUAGUAUUUUGUGUGCUUCCCUUUUUUUAUGCUUUUUCUUGUUUGCUUGAGGGCAAGCAACGUCUAAGUGUGAGGAGGGGGAUGUGUCUUUGUUUUUGUGUGUCUAUAUUGAGUCGUGGUGCUGUCUUGCAUGUUAGUCAAGUGAGUGUUGGUUUGUUAGUUUUGUGUAUGCAUGCUGCCAAGUUGCACUUUGUGAUGAAGUAGAU